rnacentral:rRNA from 1 species
GGCUGAAAUUCGCCUUUAUGAAGCCGGAAUUGCUAGUAAUGGCAGGUCAGCAUACUGCCGUGAAUACGUUCCCGGGCCUUGUACACACCGCCCGUCACACCAUGAGAGUUGGAAAUACCCGAAGCCUGUGAGCUAACUUAAAGAGGCAGCAGUCGAAGGUAGAGCCAAUGAUUGGGGUGAAGUCGUAACAAGGUACC